GCUUACCCGAUGAAGGGAAGAGUAGUUUCCGCAGCUGCCGCAUCAGAGAGCCGGGCAAGACGGUGCAAGCCGGCCGGGGGCGGGAAACGAAGAUGGUCCCGGAGGAUUCCGCUCCGAACGGCAGCAGCCUGGCGCUGAAGCCGCAAGGUACGGACGCGCGCAGCCGGCGUUAGCGGCUUGCCGUUCUUCCAGGAACGGCUUCACUAGAGCUUCCCGUCCGCCUCGAGCCAGAGGCAGGGAAGGAAUUUGGGUGGUACCACGAAGCGCUCUCGCUCUCGUCCCAUAG
rnacentral:ncRNA from 1 species